rnacentral:rRNA from 1 species
UACGUAGGGGGCAAGCGUUGUCCGGAUUUAUUGGGCGUAAAGAGCGUGUAGGCGGCCAGGUAGGUCCGUUGUGAAAACUCGAGGCUCAACCUCGAGACGCCGAUGGAAACCCCCUGGCUAGAGUCCGGAAGAGGAGAGUGGAAUUCCGGGUGUAGCGGUGAAAUGCGUAGAUAUCGAGAGGAAUACCAACGGCGAAGGCAGGUCACUGGGCAGUUACUGACACUGAGGCACGAAGGCCAGGGGAGCAAACGGG